AUUGAACGCUGGCGGCAUGCCUAACACAUGCAAGUCGAACGGCAGCACGGGUGCUUCCUCCUGGUGGCGAGUGCGAGACGCGGGAGUAAUACAUCUGAACAUGUACCGAAGUUGGGGAUGGGCCGGCCGAAGCCGGACUAAUACCGCUACCGCAUACCGGCUGACAGCGGGGGCCCUUGGGGUCCCGCCCUUGCGGGUUUGCCGGAGGCGAUGUAGCAUUAGCGAGUGGGUGGGGUAAAGCACGGCCAAGGCGACGAUCCGUAGCUGGUCUGAGAGGAGGACCAGCCACACUGGAACUGAGACACGGCCCAGACUCCUACGGGAGGCAGCAGUGGGGAAUAUUGGACAAUGGGCGAAAGCCUGAUCCAGCAAUGCCGCGUGUGUGAAGAAGGCCUUCGGGUUGUAAAGCCCUUUUGUCCGGAAAGAAAAGCUUGGCUCUAAUACAGGCCUGGGAUGACGGUACCGGAAGAAUAAGCACCGGCUAACUACGUG
rnacentral:rRNA from 1 species